CACACAUUAAAACAUACAGUACAGGUGAUUCAAUCUCAAUAAAUACCAUUAAAAAAAAUAAUCACUGCUUUUGUUGUAUUUUUCCUGCAAACAGUGUUUUGUUUGUACUUGGAAAUUCAAGUUUCUGAGUCAGAAGUCAAUAACUUAUCUUCAGGUUGUGAAUGUUGCAGAAGAAUACUGCUUAUUUCUAGUUAUAUCACAAUAAACUAAUAGCACACACAGAGAUAUGCAAUUUCUUUUGUGAAUAUGUUUCCUAAAGUGUGAAUGUUGUUGUGAGAACAACUAGCAAAUCCCACAGGUUUUUCCCCAAUGUGCCACUACAACAAGAUCUACUCGGGUGCCAACGUCAUGUCUUGAUCUGAGCUCUAACUUCUGAGACUAAAUAAAUGCGGAAACAACAUCUCCAGGAUUCUGAUCUUUGAUUGGUAUUUACCAGCAGCACUGUAAACAGGAGGUACACAAAAGAUUAUAAGGCAGAUUUGUUCACAUCCCGUGUGGAAAUUAAGAAGUUCAAAAGAGUUUCAAACUCUCAGAAGUCAGUGUUGCUCCUCAAUAAUAACCAUCCAUUAGUCUGCGUUUAGUUGCCAUAGUAUUGGAUACUGGCUAACCUGUAUUUCCCUUGUCACUUCAGGUUUGAAUAUAGGUAUUCAGACUGAAUGGUUUGCCAUCCGAGUGGCCUGCUAGGACACCUAACUGGUUUCAAACGUGUUGCUAAGGAGAUGGGCAGAAAUAAAAAUGCACCAGUGUUUUAUGGGUGUUGCGUAUACAUUUUGUGCUGUAAAUAAUGCACUCGAAACACGGGGAUGACAAAUGACAGCAAAAGUUUUCCGCCACUCGGUGUGGGAUACGACAGAAGCAGCAAUAGUUGAACAGUUUUCAACUUUCCUGCAUCGCGUCGCUAACCCACUCGUCUACUCUUACAAGCUUGAAAUCUCACAUGCACCAAUUCUGCUGGUUGCUUGUAUAGUGGAAGGCAACAUUGCCUCCUGUGUUUUGAGCCCAUAAUUCAUCCUGUAUUGAAAGGGAUAAAUAUAUUGAGAAACAGUUGUGUACAGAUCUUUCCUGCAGGUUAGCUCUAAACUAUCCUAGUUAGCUUGCCUGCUCUGUCCUAGUUUUGCAGGCAAAUGCCUCGUAUUCAACGAGUCGCCAACCAAUUCAGCACUCAAGUAGACUUCUGUGAUGAUACACCAUUUUUGAAGCAGGCUACACCCAUUUCUCUGGUAGCAGAAGGAGGUGCCUAAUUCGGUCAGCAAUAAUUCCUGAACACCUAAUUGUGUUCAGUCUCCAUGGUAGCCAACUGUGGUAGUGGCCAAUGGGUUGUGGUAGUUUCCACAAAUCAUUGCAUUUGAUUUUCAGUAAGAUAUUAACUGUUUCCGUUUUAAAAAUAAAAACAAAAUUAAAUUGAGACACCGAUUGUUUGUUGGUCUCUAUGAUCCCACCUUUCCAGCAGACAAACACAGUUCUUCCUCUUGCCCAACAAAGAAAAGAUGCACCUUAGUCAGAGGAUUUUCUGGUGGUGACAGGAAGAACUGGUUCUAAGCAAGCAUGAGAACUAGUUUGUCACUUUAACGGGUUAGGUGAAAUAAAAAUAAACAAAAAAAAAUACACACUACAUGACAGAUACACUACAAUCAGAUCUCAACAGACCGGCAGCCGAGAAAUUUCCGUAUUGUUCAACACUUGGCUACAUUUAAAACGUGAUGGACAUGACUGACAAGUUGCGCAUUUAUCAACAAGCUGAGCGUGCGGAAGUGGCGAUCCAGUGCAGCCGGUUGCGUAGGACAAGAAGUCCCAGCAGAAGGUUUUCUAUCGACAAUCUGAAACAACCAUUCCUGUAAGACCUGAUCCCCUCCCACUCACUGACUAACACAGGCUUUGUAUAUUGCAUCAGGCAUGACUUAUCCUUUCAUUAUGCCUUUUGUUUCCACUUGAACAAGUCGCAGAUCAUCCCUGAACACUGACCGUCUCCUCCUCCCGGCCUGACAGGUCCUCGUCAGCUGAUCUAAUAAAUCUGAUAGUCAUCGGCGACAGAGCACUACAUCGGCUUGUGUAAACACAAAACCACUAUUAACAUAAGUUUCUUUCACACAACAAAUGUAAUGCAUUGUGCUUAAGCAAGUGAACUACCAGUUUACAAUAUCAAAUGUGUUUGUGAUGAAAACACAGCUGUUCCCCCGGUGAAGUCUUUGUUAUUCUUAGCUGUGGUGGGGGGUGGACCUAAUAAACAUAAGGCAGCAAAGCAAUGCCCCAAUCUAUGCACGCGAAGUAGGUCACGAGCUUUAUCAUCGUAGUAGGAAGAGGGGAGUUCCAGUAAUGGAACCAAUGAGGAGAGGCGUUUGCUCAUGGGAUCCAAGUGGCAACCAAAACAAAAGCUUGAUAGUGGCACAAUUUUCAUGCGGGGCCGCGUCUCUGUGCUCCACUGUCCUGGCCUCCUCGGCACCUUUCUCAUCACCAUUCAAUCACUGUCUGUUUACACUCCUGCAGGAGCAGAAUGAACUGUAGCUCAGGGCUCUCCCUGGGAAGCUCCGAGGGCCCCCUGCUGCCUCACAUCUCGCCCCCGCCAUGCUCUGUGUCCACACAGCCCUCUGCUUUCCACCCCACCCGCCUGCACGUAAACAAACACACUAGUCACGGAGCUGCCUCCCCGCUCCCACACACCCACACACACAUUAUCUGCACCCUUAGGAGAGUGUGUUACUUCUCUCCCGCUUCUUAUCUCGUGUAGAUACCGAGGCCUUUGGAGGCUGGAUCUUUCCGGCACCACGGCACCCUCAACUGUUCUCAUGAUGGCGUUCCUGUGCACGAGUCAUGUCAACAGCACCGCAUCCGUCAAGACCCAAGCUUUGAUGAGGAGAUACAGUUAAGUGCACAAAGAUCCAGCAACUCGAGGCCUUAUCAGCCGAUCGCUCUGGCAGGCAAACGGAGCACAGGAUCACCUGGGGCAGCUUUCAGGGGCCCAGCCGCCUUGUGUGUUCAAGACUUCAAAAUCUUCAAAGAGCUCUGCCGAUCGCAGCCGCCAUCUCCCUCCCCAGCUGCCCUGCUCCCCUUACAACUCUGUUUUGAACUUUCCAGUCCGCCCUCUGUGCACGGCACGACCGCUUACAUAAAACCAAAGCUUCGAGCGCCCGGCCUCAACUGGAAAGAAAAAAAAUCUAACGCUAAAAUUAAAGAGGAUAACACACCGCACGCCGACUCACACAUGUUGCCUUUGUGACCCUGAGGGCGAGCUUCCCUGAGAAAACACGGCUGCAGUGAAAGGAUGGCACCUGAACAGCAGAAAUGAGUCAGAGGGACACAUGCAGGAGCCUUGAUCUCUGGAAGCCUUCCCAACACACUGGGGGAUUAACUCAUUCCCAUGGCUGCAGAGACAUUUCAGCACAUGUACCUGGGACCUGUCACUAAUUCACCGACGCUGGCACCCACACACCGAAAGCCAAGUGUCAAACUUCAGCUCGGCCUGUAGGAUUAAUGGCUAAUUCAGCUGUUGGGCCAACACUAAAAUGGCCGACAAAAGUUUAGGUGGGAAUUUUGAUGGGAAGCAGGAGUAGGGGGUUUCUGGAGAAAUCUGGUUUGAACCAACAACAGUUGACUAAAAGCCCCCUAACAAUGGAGGCUGAUCAAAUGAACUGUGACUCAAUCACUUCUUAUUAUGAAGCAUGUUUUCAAAAUAAGUUAUGAUGCAAUUCCCCCAAAAUAUGUCCUGAAAUAAACUGAAGCUGAAAUGAGA